CAUGUCCUACCGGGUGUCACUAGGUCCAUGUCCUACAGGUGUCACGGUGUCACCGGUCCACAUGUCAACAUGUCCACAGGUGUCACCGGUCCACAUGUCCACAGCUGUCACCGGUCCACAUGUCAACAGGUGUCACCGGUCCACAUGUCCACAGGUCCACAGCUGUCACCGGUCCACAUGUCCACAGCUGUCACCGGUCCACAUGUCCGCA
rnacentral:lncRNA from 1 species